rnacentral:lncRNA from 1 species
AUCUUACAGUCCACCGCUCUACCAACUGAGCUAUCAAGGUGCUCUCUGGUCGCAACAGCAGAAAACAUAGUGGCUUCGGAGACACACUAUGCCCACAGAACUAUUCCAACCCAUGGUCAAUGAAAAGUCCAGCCCUACCUGCAGAACAAAGCCUCACAGUUUGUACCCAACAGUCAUUGUCAGGGACCCAGAGCUAAUAAUCAGGACUUUUAGGCUGGGUGAAUAAAAAAUUGAUGGUUGAAAAUUUAAGAAAGAGUUAUCUUGUUUGUGUUUUUACAUUUUGGAGGAGUUGACAGAUAAAGACAAGGCUGGGGGUUUUUCCAAUGACAAGGAGGUGCUUGGAGUUGGAGUUGAACCAGCGAUGUUAGGAUCACAGCGUUUCACACAAGGAGCAUCUUACAGUCCACCGGUCUACCAACUGAGCUAUGAAGGUGCUUUCUAGUCACAACAGCAGAAAACAUAGUUGCUUUGGAGACACACUAUGCCCACAGAACUAUUCCAACCCAUGGUCAAUGAAAAGCCCAGCCCUAUCUGUAGAACAAAGCUUUGCAGUUUGUACCCAACAGUCAUUGCCAGGGACCCAGAACUAAUAAUCAGGACUUUUAGGCUGGGUGAAUAAAAAAUUGUUGGUGGAAAAUUUAAGAAAGAGUUAUAUUUUUUGUGUUUUUACAUUUUGGAGGAGUUGACAGAUAAAGACAAGGCUUGGGGGUAUUUCCAAUGACAAGGAGGUGGUUGGAGCUGGAGUUGAACCAGCGACCUUAGGAUCACAGCGUUUCACACAAGGAGCAUGUUACAGUCCACCGCUCUACCAACUGAGCUAUCAAGGUGCUGUCUAGUCACUACAGCAGAAAACAUAGUGGCUUUGGAGACACACUAUGCCCACAGAACUAUUCCAACCCAUGGUCAAUGAAAAGCCCAGCCCUACCUGCAGAACAAAGCUUUGCAGUUUGUACCCAACAGUCAUUGCCAGGGACCCAGAACUAAUAAUCAGGACUUUUAGGCUGGGUGAAUAAAAAAUUGUUGGUGGAAAAUUUAAGAAAGAGUAUUCUUGUUUGUGUUUUUACAUUUUGGAGGAGUUGACAGAUAAAGACAAGGCUUGGGGGAAUUUCCAAUGAGAAGGAGGUGCUUGGAGUUGGAGUUGAACCAGCGACCUUAGGAUCGCAGCGUUUCACACAAGGAGCAUCUUACUGUGCACCGCUCUACCAACUGAGCUAUGAAGGUGCUCUCCAGUCACAACAGCACAAAACAUAGUGGCUUUGGAGACACACUAUGCCCACAGAACUAUUCCAACCCAUGGUCAAUGAAAAGCCCAGCCCUACCUGCAGAACAAAGCCUCACAGUUUGUACCCAACAGUCAUUGCCAGGGACCCAGAACUGAUAAUCAGGACUUUUGGGCUGGGUGAAUAAAAAAUUGAUGGUUGAAAAUUAAAGAAAGAAUUAUCUUGUUUGUGUUUUUACAUUUUGGAGGAGUUGACAGAUAAAGACAAGGCUUGGGGGUAUUUUCAAUCACAAGGAGGUGCUUGGAGCUGGAGUUGAACCAGCGACCUUAGGAUCACAGCGUUUCACACAAGGAGCAUCUUACAGUUCACCGCUCUACCAACUGAGCUAUCAAGGUGCUCUAUAGUCACAACAGCAGAAAACAUAGUGGCUUUGGAGACACACUAUGCCCACAGAACUAUUCAAACCCAUGGUCAAUGAAAAGCCCAGCCCUACCUGCAGAACAAAGCCUCACAGUUUGUACCCAACAGUCAUUGUCAGGGACCCAGAACUAAUAAUCAGGACUUUUAGGCUGGGUGAAUAAAAAAUUGAUGGUUGAAAAUUUAAGAAAGAGUUAUCUUGUUUGUGUUUUUACAUUUUGGAGGAGUUGACAGAUAAAGACAAGGCUUGGGGGUAUUUCCAAUCACAAGGAGGUGCUUGGAGCUGGAGUUGAACCAGCGACCUUAGGAUGACAGCUUUUCACACAAGGAGACUCUUACAGUCCACCGCUCUACCAACUGAGCUAUGAAGGUGCUGUAUAGUCACAACAGCAGAAAACAUAGUGGCUUUGGAGACACACUAUGCCCACAGAACUAUUCCAACCCAUGGUCAAUGAAAAGCCCAGCCCUACCUGUAGAACAAAGCUUUGCAGUUUGUGACCAACAGUCAUUGCCAGGGACCCAGAACUAAUAAUCAGGACUUUUAGGCUGGGUGAAUAAAAAAUUGAUGGUUGAAAAUUUAAGAAAGAGUUAUCUUGUUUGUGUUUUUACAUUUUGAAAGGGGUUGACAGAUAAAGACAAGGCUUGGGGGUAUUUCCAAUGACAAGGAGGUGCUUGGAGCUGGAGUUGAACCAGCGACAUUAGGAUCACAGCAUUUCACACAAGGAGCAUCUUACUGUGCACCUCUCUACCAACUGAGCUAUGAAGGUGCUCUCUGGUCACAACAGCAGAAAACAUAGUGGCUUUGGAGACACACUAUGCCCACAGAACUAUUCCAACCCAUGGUCAAUGAAAAGCCCAGCCCUACCUGUAGAACAAAGCUUUGCAGUUUGUACCCAACAGUCAUUGUCAGGGACCCAGAACUAAUAAUCAGGACUUUUAGGCUGGGUGAAUAAAAAAUUGAUGGUUGAAAAUUAAAGAAAGAGUUAUCUUGUUUGUGUUUUUACAUUUUGGAGGAGUUGACAGAUAAAGACAAGGCUUGGGGGUAUUUCCAACGACAAGGAGGUGCUUGGAGCUGGGGUUGAACCAGUGACCUUAGGAUCACAGCGUCCACGAGCAUCUUACAGUCCACCGCUGUACCAACUGAGCUAUCAAGGCACUCUCUAAUCACAACAGCAGAAAACAUAGUGGCUUUGGAGACACACUAUGCCCACAGAACUAUUCCAACCCAUGGUCAAUGAAAAGCCCAGCCCUACCUGUAGAACAAAGCUUUGCAGUUUGUGACCAACAGUCAUUGCCAGGGACCCAGAACUAAUAAUCAGGACUUUUAGGCUGGGUGAAUAAAAAAUUGAUGGUUGAAAAUUUAAGAAAGAGUUAUCUUGUUUGUGUUUUUACAUUUUGAAAGGGGUUGACAGAUAAAGACAAGGCUUGGGGGUAUUUCCAAUGACAAGGAGGUGCUUGGAGCUGGAGUUGAACCAGCAACCUUAGGAUCACAGCGUUUCACACAAGGAGCAUCUUACAGUGCACCGCUCUACCAAUUGAGCUAUCAAGGUGCACUCUAGUCACAACAGCAGAAAACAUAGUGGCUUUGGAGACACACUAUGCCCACAGAACUAUUCCAACCCAUUGUCAAUGAAAAGCCCAGCCCGACCUGCAGAACAAAGCCUUACAGUUUGUACCCAACAGUCAUUGUCAGGGACCCAGAACUAAUAAUCAGGACUUUGAGGCUGGGUGAAUAAAAAAUUGAUGGUUGAAAAUUUAAGAAAGAGUUAUCUUGUUUGUGUUUUUACAUUUUGGAGGAGUUGACAGAUAAAGACAAGGCUUGGGAGUAUUUUCAAUGACAAGGAGGUGCUUGGAGCUGGAGUUGAACCAGCGAGAUUAGGAUCACAGCUUUUCACACAAGGAGCAUCUUACAGUCCACCACUCUACCAAGUGAGCUAUGAAGGUGCUCUAUAGUCAUAACAGCAGAAAACAUAGUGGCUUUGGAGACACACUAUGCCCACAGAACUAUUCCAACCCAUGGUCAAUGAAAAGCCCAGCCCUACCUGUAGAACAAAGCUUUGCAGUUUGUACCCAACAGUCAUUGCCAGGGACCCAGAACUAAUAAUCAGGACUUUUAGGCUGGGUGAAUAAAAAAUUGAUGGUUGAAAAUUUAAGAAAGAGUUAUCUUGUUUGUGUUUUUACAUUUUGGAGGAGUUGACAGAACAAGCGAACAAGCGAGUUGAACAAGCGAACUUAGGAUCACAGCGUUUCACACAAGGAGCAUCUUACAGUCCACCGCUCUACCAACUGAGCUAUCAAGGUGCUCUCUAGUCACAACAGCAGAAAUUAUAGUGGCUUUGGAGACACACUAUGCCCACAGAACUAUUCCAACCCAUGUUCAAUGAAAAGCCCAGCCCGACCUGCAGAACAAAGCCUUACAGUUUGUACCCAACAGUCAUUGUCAGGGACCCAGAACUAAUAAUCAGGACUUUGAGGCUGGGUGAAUAAAAAAUUGAUGGUUGAAAAUUUAAGAAAGAGUUAUCUUGUUUGUGUUUUUACAUUUUGGAGGAGUUGACAGAUAAAGACAAGGCUUGGGGGAAUUUCCAAUGACAAGGAGGUGCUUGGAGCUGGAGUUGAACCAGCGACCUUAGGAUCACAGCGUUUCACACAAGGAGCAUCUAACAGUCCACCGCUCUACCAACUGAGCUAUCAAGGUGCUCUCUAGUCACAACAGCACAAAACAUAGUGGCUUUGGAGACACACUAUGCCCACAGAACUAUUCCAACCCAUGGUCAAUGAAAAGCCCAGCCCGACCUGCAGAACAAAGCUUUGCAGUUUGUACCCAACAGUCAUUGUCAGGGACCCAGAACUAAUAAUGAGAACUUUUAAGGCUGGGUGAAAAAAAAAUUGUGGUUGAAAACUUAAGAAAGAGUUAUCUUGUUUGUGUUUUUACAUUUUGGAGGAGUUGACAGAUAAAGACAAGGCUUGGGGGUAUUUCCAAUGACAAGGAGGUGCUUGGAGCUGGAGUUGAACCAGCGACCUUGGGAUCACAGCGUUUCACACAAGGAGCAUCUUACAGUCCACCGCUCUACCAACUGAGCUAUCAAGGUGCUCUCUAGUCACAACAGCAGAAAACAUAGUGGCUUUGGAGACACACUAUGCCCACAGAACUAUUCCAACCCAUGGUCAAUGAAAAGCCCAGCCCUACCUGUAGAACAAAGCUUUGCAGUUUGUACCCAACAGUCAUAGCCAGGGACCCAGAACUAAUAAUCAGGACCUUUAGGCUGGGUGGAUAAAAAAUUGUUGGUGGAAAAUUUAAGAAAGAGUUAUCUUGUUUGUGUUUUUACAUUUUGGAGGAGUUGACAGAUAAAGACAAGGCUUGGGGGUAUUUCCAAUGACAAGGAGGUGCUUGGAGCUAGAGUUGAACCAGCGACGUUGGGAUCACAGCGUUUCACACAAGGAGCAUCUUACAGUCCACCGCUCUACCAACUGAGCUAUCAAGGUGCUCUAUAGUCACAACAGCACAAAACAUAGUGGCUUUGGAGACACACUUUGCCCACAGAACUAUUCCAACCCAUGGUCAAUGAAAAGCCCAGCCCUACCUGUAGAACAAAGCUUUGCAGUUUGUACCCAACAGUCAUUGUCAGGGACCCAGAACUAAUAAUCAGGACUUUUAGGCUGGGUGAAUAAAAAAUUGAUGGUUGAAAAUUUAAGAAAGAGUUAUCUUGUUUGUGUUUUUACAUUUUGGAGGAGUUGACAGAUAAAGACAAGGCUUGGGGGUAUUUCCAAUGACAAGGAGAUGCUUGGAGCUGGAGUUGAACCAGCGACCUUAGAAUCACAGCGUUUCAUACAAGGAGCAUCUUACAGUCCACCGCUCUACCAACUGAGCUAUCAAGGUGCUCUCUAGUCACAACAGCACAAAACAUAGUGGCUUUGGAGACACACUAUGCCCACAGAACUAUUCCAACCCAUGGUCAAUGAAAAGCCAAGCCCUACCUUUAGAACAAAGCUUUGCAGUUUGUACCCAACAGUCAUUGCCAGGGACCCAGAACUAAUAAUCAGGACUUUUGGGCUGGGUGGAUAAAAAAUUGAUGGUUGAAAAUUUAAGAAUGAGUUAACUUGUUUGUGUUUUUACAUUUUGGAGGAGUUAAUUGAUAAAGACAUGGCUUGGGGGUAUUUCAAAUCACAAGGAGGUGCUUGGAGCUGGAGUUGAACAAGCAACAUUAGGAUCACAGUGUUUCACACAAGGAGCAUCUUACAGUCCACUGCUCUACCAACUGAGCUUAUCAAGAUGCUCUCUAGUCACAACAGCAGAAAACAUAGUGGCUUUGGAGACACACUAUGCCCACAGAACUAUUCCAACCCAUGGUCAAUGAAAAGCCCAGCCCUACCUGUAGAACAAAGCUUUGCAGUUUGUACCCAACAGUCAUAGCCAGGGACCCAGAACUAAUAAUCAGGACUUUUAGGCUGGGUGAAUAAAAAAUUGAUGGUUGAAAAUUUAAGAAAGAGUUAUCUUGUUUGUGUUUUUACAUUUUGGAGGAGUUGACAGAUAAAGACAAGGCUUUGGGGUAUUUCCAAUCACAAGGAGGUGCUUGGAGCUGGAGUUGAACCAGCGACCUUGGGAUCACAGCGUUUCACACAAGGAGCAUCUUACAGUCCACCGCUCUACCAACUGAGCUAUCAAGGUGCUCUGUAGUCACAACAGCAGAAAACAUAGUGGCUUUGGAGACACACUUUGCCCACAGAACUAUUCCAACCCAUGGUCAAUGAAAAGCCCAGCCCUACCUGUAGAACAAAGCUUUGCAGUUUGUAACCAACAGUCAUUGCCAGGGACCCAGAACUAAUAAUCAGGACUUUUAGGCUGGGUGAAUAGAAAAUUGAUGGUUGAAAAUUUAAGAAAGAGUUAUCUUGUUUGUGUUUUUACAUUUUGAAAGGGGUUGACAGAUAAAGACAAGGCUUGGGGGUAUUUCCAAUGACAAGGAGGUGCUUGGAGCUGGAGUUGAACAAGCAACCUUAGGAUCACAGCAUUUCACACAAGGAGGAUCUUACAGUCCACCGCUCUACCAACUGAGCUAUCAAGGUGCUCUCUAGUCACAACAGCAGAAAACAUAGUGGCUUUGGAGACACACUAUGCCCACAGAACUAUUCCAACCCAUGGUCAAUGAAAAGCCCAGCCCUACCUGUAGAACAAAGCUUUGCAGUUUGUACCCAACAGUCAUAGCCAGGGACCCAGAACUAAUAAUCAGGACUUUUAGGCUGGGUGAAUAAAAAAUUGAUGGUUGAAAAUUUAAGAAAGAGUUAUCUUGUUUGUGUUUUUACAUUUUGGAGGAGUUGACAGAUAAAGACAAGGCUUUGGGGUAUUUCCAAUCACAAGGAGGUGCUUGGAGCUGGAGUUGAACCAGCGACCUUGGGAUCACAGCGUUUCACACAAGGAGCAUCUUACAGUCCACCGCUCUACCAACUGAGCUAUCAAGGUGCUCUGUAGUCACAACAGCAGAAAACAUAGUGGCUUUGGAGACACACUUUGCCCACAGAACUAUUCCAACCCAUGGUCAAUGAAAAGCCCAGCCCUACCUGUAGAACAAAGCUUUGCAGUUUGUAACCAACAGUCAUUGCCAGGGACCCAGAACUAAUAAUCAGGACUUUUAGGCUGGGUGAAUAGAAAAUUGAUGGUUGAAAAUUUAAGAAAGAGUUAUCUUGUUUGUGUUUUUACAUUUUGAAAGGGGUUGACAGAUAAAGACAAGGCUUGGGGGUAUUUCCAAUGACAAGGAGGUGCUUGGAGCUGGAGUUGAACAAGCAACCUUAGGAUCACAGCAUUUCACACAAGGAGGAUCUUACAGUCCACCGCUCUACCAACUGAGCUAUCAAGGUGCUCUCUAGUCACAACAGCACAAAACAUAGUGGCUUUGGAGACACACUAUGCCCACAGAACUAUUCCAACCCAUGGUCAAUGAAAAGCCCAGUCCGACCUGCAGAACAAAGCUUUGCAGUUUGUACCCAACAGUCAUUGUCAGUGACCCAGAACUAAUAAUGAGAACUUUUAAGGCUGGGUGAAAAAAAAAUUGUGGUUGAAAAUUUAAGAAAGAGUUAUCUUGUUUGUGUUUUUACAUUUUGGAGGAGUUGACAGAUAAAGACAAGGCUUGGGGGUAUUUCCAAUGACAAGGAGGUGCUUGGAGCUGGAGUUGAACCAGCGAACUUAGGAUCACAUCGUUUCACACAAGGAGCAUCUUACAGUCCACCGCUCUACCAACUGAGCUAUCAAGGUGCUCUAUAGUCACAACAGCAGAAAACAUAGUGGCUUUGGAGACACACUUUGCCCACAGAACUAUUCCAACCCAUGGUCAGUGAAAAGCCCAGCCCUACCUGUAGAACAAAGCUUUGCAGUUUGUACCCAACAGUCAUUGCCAGGGACCCAGAACUAAUAAUCAGCACUUUUAGGCUGGGUGAAUAAAAAAUUGAUGGUUGAAAAUUUAAGAAAGAGUUAUCUUGUUUGUGUUUUUACAUUUUGGAGGAGUUGACAGAUAAAGACAAGGCUUGGGGGUAUUUCCAAUGACAAGGAGGUGCUUGGAGCUGGAGUUGAACCAGCGACCUUGGGAUCACAGCGUUUCACACAAGGAGCAUCUUACAGUCCACUGCUCUACCAACUGAGCUAUCAAGGUGCUCUCUAGUCACAACAGCAGAAAACAUAGUGGCUUUGGAGACACACUUUGCCCACAGAACUAUUCCAACCCAUGGUCAAUGAAAGGCCCAGCCCUACCUGUAGAACAAAGCUUUGCAGUUUGUACCCAACAGUCAUUGCCAGGGACCCAGAACUAAUAAUCAGGACUUUUAGGCUGGGUGAAUAAAAAAUUGAUGGUUGAAAAUUAAAGAAAGAGUUAUCUUGUUUGUGUUUUUACAUUUUGGAGGAGUUGACAGAUAAAGACAAGGCUUUGGGGUAUUUCCAAUCACAAGGAGGUGCUUGGAGCUGGAGAUGAACCAGCUACCUUAGGAUCACAGUGUUUCACACAAGGAGCAUCUUACAGUGCACCGCUCUACCAACUGAGCUAUCAAGGUGCUCUCUAGUCACAACAGCAGAAAACAUAGUGGCUUUGGAGACACACUAUGCCCACAGAACUAUUCCAACCCAUGGUCAAUGAAAAGCCCAGCCCUACCUGUAGAACAAAGCUUUGCAGUUUGUACCCAACAGUCAUUGUCAGGGACCCAGAACUAAUAAUCAGGACUUUUAGGCUGGGUGGAUAAAAAAUUGUUGGUUGAAAAUUUAAGAAAGAGUUAUCUUGUUUGUGUUUUUACAUUUUGGAGGAGUUGACAGAUAAAGACAAGGCUUGGGGGUAUUUCCAAUGACAAGGAGGUGCUUGGAGCUGGAGUUGAACCAGCGACCUUAGGUUCACAGUGUUUCAUACAAGGAGCAUCUUACAGUCCACCGCUAUACCAACUGAGCUAUCAAGGUGCUCUGUAGUCACAACAGCAGAAAACAUAGUGGCUUUGGAGACACACUUUGCCCACAGAACUAUUCAGACCCAUGGUCAAUGAAAAGCCCAGCCCUACCUGUAGAACAAAGCUUUGCAGUUUGUAACCAACAGUCAUUGCCAGGGACCCAGAACUAAUAAUCAGGACUUUUAGGCUGGGUGAAUAAAAAAUUGAUGAUUGAAAAUUUAAGAAAGAGUUAUCUUGUUUGUGUUUUUACAUUUUGAAAGGGGUUGACAGAUAAAGACAAGGCUUGGGGGUAUUUCCAAUGACAAGGAGGUGCUUUGAGCUGGAGUUGAACCAGCGACCUUAGGAUCAGAGCGUUUCACACAAGGAGCAUCUUACAGUCCACCGCUCUACCAACUGAGCUAUCAAGGUGCUCUAUAGUCACAACAGCACAAAACAUAGUGGCUUUGGAGACACACUAUACCCACAGAACUAUUCCAACCCAUGGUCAAUGAAAAGCCCAGCCCUACCUGUAGAACAAAGCUUUGCAGUUUGUACCCAACCGUCAUUGCCAGGGACCCAGAACAAAUAAUCAGGACUUUUAGGCUGGGUGGAUAAAAAAUUGUUGGUGGAAAAUUUAAGAAAGAGUUAUCUUGUUUGUGUUUUUACAUUUUGGAGGAGUUGACAGAUAAAGACAAGGCUUGGGGGUAUUUCCAAUGACAAGGAGGUGCUUGAAGCUGGAGUUGAACCAGCGACCUUGGGAUCACAGCGUUUCACACAAGGAGCAUCUUACAGUCCACUGCUCUACCAACUGAGCUAUCAAGGUGCUCUCUAGUCACAACAGCAGAAAACAUAGUGGCUUUGGAGACACACUUUGCCCACAGAACUAUUCCAACCCAUGGUCAAUGAAAGGCCCAGCCCUACCUGUAGAACAAAGCUUUGCAGUUUGUACCCAACAGUCAUUGCCAGGGACCCAGAACUAAUAAUCAGGACUUUUAGGCUGGGUGGAUAAAAAAUUGUUGGUGGAAAAUUUAAGAAAGAGUUAUCUUGUUUGUGUUUUUACAUUUUGGAGGAGUUGACAGAUAAAGACAAGGCUUGGGGGUAUUUCCAAUGACAAGGAGGUGCUUGGAGCUGGAGUUGAACCAGCGACCUUGGGAUCACAGCGUUUCACACAAGGAGCAUCUUACAGUCCACUGCUCUACCAACUGAGCUAUCAAGGUGCUCUAUAGUCACAACAGCAGAAAACAUAGUGGCUUUGGAGACACACUUUGCCCACAGAACUAUUCCAACCCAUGGUCAAUGAAAGGCCCAGCCCUACCUGUAGAACAAAGCUUUGCAGUUUGUACCCAACGUUCAUUGCCAGGGACCCAGAACUAAUAAUCAGGACUUUUAGGCUGGGUGAAUAAAAAAUUGAUGGUUGAAAAUUUAAGAAAGAGUUAUCUUGUUUGUGAUUUUACAUUUUGGAGGAGUUGACAGAUAAAGACAAGGCUUGGGGGUAUUUCCAAUGACAAGGAGGUGCUUGGAGCUGGAGUUGAACCAGCGACCUUAGGAUCACAGCGUUUCACACAAGGAGCAUCUAACAGUCCACCGCUCUACCAACUGAGCUAUCAAGGUGCUCUCUAGUAACAACAGCACAAAACAUAGUGGCUUUGGAGACACACUAUGCCCACAGAACUAUUCCAACCCAUGGUCAAUGAAAAGCCCAGCCCUACCUGUAGAACAAAGCUUUGCAUUUUUUACCCAACAGUCAUUGUCAGGGACCCAGAACUAAUAAUCAGGACUUUUAGGCUGGGUGAAUAAAAAAUUGAUGGUUGAAAAUUUAAGAAAGAGUUAUCUUGUUUGUGUUUUUACAUUUUGGAGGGGUUGACAGAUAAAGACAAGGCUUGGGGGUAUUUCCAAUGACAAGGAGGUGCUUGGAGCUGGAGUUGAACCAGCGACCUUAGAUUCACAGCUUUUCAUACAAGGAGCAUCUUACAGUCCACCGCUCUACCAACUGAGCUAUCAAGGUGCUCUCUAGUCACAACAGCACAAAACAUAGUGGCUUUGGAGACACACUUUGCCCACAGAACUAUUCCAACCCAUGGUCAAUGAAAGGCCCAGCCCUACCUGUAGAACAAAGCUUUGCAGUUUGUACCCAACAGUCAUUGCCAGGGACCCAGAACUAAUAAUCAGGACUUUUAGGCUGGGUGGAUAAAAAAUUGAUGGUUGAAAAUUUAAGAAAGAGUUAUCUUGUUUGUGUUUUUACAUUUUGGAGGAGUUGACAGAUAAAGACAAGGCUUUGGGGUAUUUCCAAUCACAAGGAGGUGCUUGGAGCUGGAGUUGAACCAGCGACCUUAGGAUCACAGCGUUUCACACAAGGAGCAUCUUACAGUGCACUGCUCUACCAACUGAGCUAUCAAGGUGCUCUCUAGUCAAAACAGCAGAAAACAUAGUGGCUUUGGAGACACACUAUGCCCACAGAACUAUUCCAACCCAUGGUCAAUGAAAAGCCCAGCCCUACCUGUAGAACAAAGCUUUGCAGUUUGUACCCAACAGUCAUUGUCAGGGACCCAGAACUAAUAAUCAGGACUUUUAGGCUGGGUGGAUAAAAAAUUGUUGGUUGAAAAUUUAAGAGAGAGUUAUCUUGUUUGUGUUUUUACAUUUUGGAGGAGUUGACAGAUAAAGACAAGGCUUGGGGGUAUUUCCAAUCACAAGGAGGUGCUUGGAGCUGGAGUUGAACCAGCGACCUUAGAUUCACAGCUUUUCAUACAAGGAGCAUCUUACAGUCCACCGCUCUACCAACUGAGCUAUCAAGGUGCUCUCUAGUCACAACAGCACAAAACAUAGUGGCUUUGGAGACACACUUUGCCCACAGAACUAUUCCAACCCAUGGUCAAUGAAAGGCCCAGCCCUACCUGUAGAACAAAGCUUUGCAGUUUGUAACCAACAGUCAUUGCCAGGGACCCAGAACUAAUAAUCAGGACUUUUAGGCUGGGUGGAUAAAAAAUUGAUGGUUGAAAAUUUAAGAAAGAGUUAUCUUGUUUGUGUUUUUACAUUUUGGAGGAGUUGACAGAUAAAGACAAGGCUUUGGGGUAUUUCCAAUCACAAGGAGGUGCUUGGAGCUGGAGUUGAACCAGCGACCUUAGGAUCACAGCGUUUCACACAAGGAGCAUCUUACAGUGCACUGCUCUACCAACUGAGCUAUCAAGGUGCUCUCUAGUCAAAACAGCAGAAAACAUAGUGGCUUUGGAGACACACUAUGCCCACAGAACUAUUCCAACCCAUGGUCAAUGAAAAGCCCAGCCCUACCUGUAGAACAAAGCUUUGCAGUUUGUACCCAACAGUCAUUGUCAGGGACCCAGAACUAAUAAUCAGGACUUUUAGGCUGGGUGGAUAAAAAAUUGUUGGUUGAAAAUUUAAGAGAGAGUUAUCUUGUUUGUGUUUUUACAUUUUGGAGGAGUUGACAGAUAAAGACAAGGCUUGGGGGUAUUUCCAAUCACAAGGAGGUGCUUGGAGCUGGAGUUGAACCAGCGACCUUAGGAUGACAGCUUUUCACACAAGGAGACUCUUACAGUCCACCGCUCUACCAACUGAGCUAUGAAGGUGCUGUAUAGUCACAACAGCAGAAAACAUAGUGGCUUUGGAGACACACUAUGCCCACAGAACUAUUCCAACCCAUGGUCAAUGAAAAGCCCAGCCCUACCUGUAGAACAAAGCUUUGCAGUUUGUAACCAACAGUCAUUGCCAGGGACCCAGAACUAAUAAUCAGGACUUUUAGGCUGGGUGAAUAAAAAAUUGAUGGUUGAAAAUUUAAGAAAGAGUUAUCUUGUUUGUGUUUUUACAUUUUGAAAGGGGUUGACAGAUAAAGACAAGGCUUGGGGGUAUUUCCAAUGACAAGGAGGUGCUUGGAGCUGGAGUUGAACCAGCGACCUUAGGAUCACAGCUUUUGCACACAAGGAGCAUCUUACAGUCCACCGCUCUACCAACUGAGCUAUCAAGGUGCUCUAUAGUCACAACAGCAGAAAACAUAGUGGCUUUGGAGACACACUAUGCCCACAGAACUAUUCCAACCCAUGGUCAAUGAAAAGCCCAGCCCUACCUGUAGAACAAAGCUUUGCAGUUUGUACCCAACAGUCAUAGCCAGGGACCCAGAACUAAUAAUCAGGACGUUUAGGCUGGGUGGAUAAAAAAUUGUUGGUUGAAAAUUUAAGAAAGAGUUAUCUUGUUUGUGAUUUUACAUUUUGGAGGAGUUGACAGAUAAAGACAAGGCUUGGGGGUAUUUCCAAUGACAAGGAGGUGCUUGGAGCUGGAGUUGAACCAGCGACCUUAGGAUCACAGCGUUUCACACAAGGAGCAUCUAACAGUCCACCGCUCUACCAACUGAGCUAUCAAGGUGCUCUCUAGUAACAACAGCACAAAACAUAGUGGCUUUGGAGACACACUAUGCCCACAGAACUAUUCCAACCCAUGGUCAAUGAAAAGCCCAGCCCUACCUGUAGAACAAAGCUUUGCAUUUUUUACCCAACAGUCAUUGUCAGGGACCCAGAACUAAUAAUCAGGACUUUUAGGCUGGGUGAAUAAAAAAUUGAUGGUUGAAAAUUUAAGAAAGAGUUAUCUUGUUUGUGUUUUUACAUUUUGGAGGGGUUGACAGAUAAAGACAAGGCUUGGGGGUAUUUCCAAUGACAAGGAGGUGCUUGGAGCUGGAGUUGAACCAGCGACCUUAGAUUCACAGCUUUUCAUACAAGGAGCAUCUUACAGUCCACCGCUCUACCAACUGAGCUAUCAAGGUGCUCUCUAGUCACAACAGCACAAAACAUAGUGGCUUUGGAGACACACUUUGCCCACAGAACUAUUCCAACCCAUGGUCAAUGAAAGGCCCAGCCCUACCUGUAGAACAAAGCUUUGCAGUUUGUACCCAACAGUCAUUGCCAGGGACCCAGAACUAAUAAUCAGGACUUUUAGGCUGGGUGGAUAAAAAAUUGAUGGUUGAAAAUUUAAGAAAGAGUUAUCUUGUUUGUGUUUUUACAUUUUGGAGGAGUUGACAGAUAAAGACAAGGCUUUGGGGUAUUUCCAAUCACAAGGAGGUGCUUGGAGCUGGAGUUGAACCAGCGACCUUAGGAUCACAGCGUUUCACACAAGGAGCAUCUUACAGUGCACUGCUCUACCAACUGAGCUAUCAAGGUGCUCUCUAGUCAAAACAGCAGAAAACAUAGUGGCUUUGGAGACACACUAUGCCCACAGAACUAUUCCAACCCAUGGUCAAUGAAAAGCCCAGCCCUACCUGUAGAACAAAGCUUUGCAGUUUGUACCCAACAGUCAUUGUCAGGGACCCAGAACUAAUAAUCAGGACUUUUAGGCUGGGUGGAUAAAAAAUUGUUGGUUGAAAAUUUAAGAGAGAGUUAUCUUGUUUGUGUUUUUACAUUUUGGAGGAGUUGACAGAUAAAGACAAGGCUUGGGGGUAUUUCCAAUCACAAGGAGGUGCUUGGAGCUGGAGUUGAACCAGCGACCUUAGGAUGACAGCUUUUCACACAAGGAGACUCUUACAGUCCACCGCUCUACCAACUGAGCUAUGAAGGUGCUGUAUAGUCACAACAGCAGAAAACAUAGUGGCUUUGGAGACACACUAUGCCCACAGAACUAUUCCAACCCAUGGUCAAUGAAAAGCCCAGCCCUACCUGUAGAACAAAGCUUUGCAGUUUGUAACCAACAGUCAUUGCCAGGGACCCAGAACUAAUAAUCAGGACUUUUAGGCUGGGUGAAUAAAAAAUUGAUGGUUGAAAAUUUAAGAAAGAGUUAUCUUGUUUGUGUUUUUACAUUUUGAAAGGGGUUGACAGAUAAAGACAAGGCUUGGGGGUAUUUCCAAUGACAAGGAGGUGCUUGGAGCUGGAGUUGAACCAGCGACCUUAGGAUCACAGCUUUUGCACACAAGGAGCAUCUUACAGUCCACCGCUGUACCAACUGAGCUAUCAAGGUGCUCUAUAGUCACAACAGCAGAAAACAUAGUGGCUUUGGAGACACACUAUGCCCACAGAACUAUUCCAACCCAUGGUCAAUGAAAAGCCCAGCCCUACCUGUAGAACAAAGCUUUGCAGUUUGUACCCAACAGUCAUAGCCAGGGACCCAGAACUAAUAAUCAGGACGUUUAGGCUGGGUGGAUAAAAAAUUGUUGGUGGAAAAUUUAAGAAAGAGUUAUCUUUUUUGUGUUUUUACAUUUUGAAAGGGGUUGACAGAUAAAGACAAGGCUUGGGGGUAUUUCCAAUGACAAGGAGGUGCUUGGAGCUGGAGUUGAACCAGCGACCUUAGGAUGACAGCUUUUGCACACAAGGAGCAUCUUACAGUCCACCGCUGUACCAACUGAGCUAUCAAGGUGCUCUAUAGUCACAACAGCAGAAAACAUAGUGGCUUUGGAGACACACUAUGCCCACAGAACUAUUCCAACCUAUGGUCAAUGAAAAGCCCAGCCCUACCUGUAGAACAAAGCUUUGCAGUUUGUACCCAACAGUCAUAGCCAGGGACCCAGAACUAAUAAUCAGGACGUUUAGGCUGGGUGGAUAAAAAAUUGUUGGUGGAAAAUUUAAGAAAGAGUUAUCUUGUUUUUGUUUUUACAUUUUGGAGGAGUUGACAGAUAAAGACAAGGCUUGGGGGUAUUUCCAAUGACAAGGAGGUGCUUGGAGCUGGAGUUGAACCAGCGACCUUGGGAUCACAGUGUUUCACACAAGGAGCAUCUUACAGUCCACCGCUCUACCAACUGAGCUAUCAAGGUGCUCUAUAGUCACAACAGCACAAAACAUAGUGGCUUUGGAGACACACUUUGCCCACAGAACUAUUCCAACCCAUGGUCAAUGAAAAGCCCAGCCCUACCUGUAGAACAAAGCUUUGCAGUUUGUACCCAACAGUCAUAGCCAGGGACCCAGAACUAAUAAUCAGGACGUUUAGGCUGGGUGAAUAAAAAAUUGAUGGUUGAAAAUUUAAGAAAGAGUUAUCUUUGUGUUUUUACAUUUUGGAGGAGUUGACAGAUAAAGACAAGGCUUGGGGGUAUUUCCAAUGACAAGGAGGUGCUUGGAGCUGGAGUUGAACCAGCAAACUUAGAAACACAGCGUUUCAUACAAGGAGCAUCUUACAGUCCACCGCUCUACCAACUGAGCUAUCAAGGUGCUCUUUAGUCACAACAGCACAAAACAUAGUGGCUUUGGAGACACACUUUGCCCACAGAACUAUUCCAACCCAUGGUCAAUGAAAAGCCCAGCCCGACCUACAGAACAAAGCUUUGCAGUUUGUACCCAACAGUCAUUGUCAGGGACCCAGAACUAAUAAUGAGAACUUUUAAGGCUGGGUGAAAAAAAAAUUGUGGUUGAAAAUUUAAGAAAGAGUUAUCUUGUUUGUGUUUUUACAUUUUGGAGGAGUUGAUUGAUAAAGACAAGGCUUGGGGGUAUUUCCAAUCACAAGGAGGUGCUUGGAGCUGGAGUUGAACCAGCAACAUUAGGAUCACAGUGUUUCACACAAGGAGCAUCUUACAGUCCACUGCUCUACCAACUGAGCUUAUCAAGGUGCUCUAUAGUCACAACAGCAGAAAACAUAGUGGCUUUGGAGACACACUAUGCCCACAGAACUAUUCCAACCCAUGGUCAAUGAAAAGCCAAGCCCUACCUGUAGAACAAAGCUUUGCAGUUUGUACCCAACAGUCAUAGCCAGGGACCCAGAACUAAUAAUCAGGACGUUUAGGCUGGGUGGAUAAAAAAUUGUUGGUGGAAAAUUUAAGAAAGAGUUAUCUUGUUUGUGUUUUUACAUUUUGGAGGAGUUGACAGAUAAAGACAAGGCUUGGGGGUAUUUCCAAUGACAAGGAGGUGCUUGGAGCUGGAGUUGAACCAGCGACCUUGGGAUCACAGCGUUUCACACAAGGAGCAUCUUACAGUCCACCGCUCUACCAACUGAGCUAUCAAGGUGCUCUAUAGUCACAACAGCACAAAACAUAGUGGCUUUGGAGACACACUUUGCCCACAGAACUAUUCCAACCCAUGGUCAAUGAAAAGCCCAGCCCUACCUGUAGAACAAAGCUUUGCAGUUUGUACCCAACAGUCAUAGCCAGGGACCCAGAACUAAUAAUCAGGACGUUUAGGCUGGGUGAAUAAAAAAUUGAUGGUUGAAAAUUUAAGAAAGAGUUAUCUUUGUGUUUUUACAUUUUGGAGGAGUUGACAGAUAAAGACAAGGCUUGGGGGUAUUUCCAAUGACAAGGAGGUGCUUGGAGCUGGAGUUGAACCAGCAAACUUAGAAACACAGCGUUUCAUACAAGGAGCAUCUUACAGUCCACCGCUCUACCAACUGAGCUAUCAAGGUGCUCUUUAGUCACAACAGCACAAAACAUAGUGGCUUUGGAGACACACUUUGCCCACAGAACUAUUCCAACCCAUGGUCAAUGAAAAGCCCAGCCCGACCUACAGAACAAAGCUUUGCAGUUUGUACCCAACAGUCAUUGUCAGGGACCCAGAACUAAUAAUGAGAACUUUUAAGGCUGGGUGAAAAAAAAAUUGUGGUUGAAAAUUUAAGAAAGAGUUAUCUUGUUUGUGUUUUUACAUUUUGGAGGAGUUGAUUGAUAAAGACAAGGCUUGGGGAUAUUUCCAAUCACAAGGAGGUGCUUGGAGCUGGAGUUGAACCAGCAACAUUAGGAUCACAGUGUUUCACACAAGGAGCAUCUUACAGUCCACUGCUCUACCAACUGAGCUUAUCAAGGUGCUCUAUAGUCACAACAGCAGAAAACAUAGUGGCUUUGGAGACACACUAUGCCCACAGAACUAUUCCAACCCAUGGUCAAUGAAAAGCCAAGCCCUACCUGUAGAACAAAGCUUUGCAGUUUGUACCCAACAGUCAUAGCCAGGGACCCAGAACUAAUAAUCAGGACGUUUAGGCUGGGUGGAUAAAAAAUUGUUGGUGGAAAAUUUAAGAAAGAGUUAUCUUGUUUGUGUUUUUACAUUUUGGAGGAGUUGACAGAUAAAGACAAGGCUUGGGGGUAUUUCCAAUGACAAGGAGGUGCUUGGAGCUGGAGUUGAACCAGCGACCUUGGGAUCACAGCGUUUCACACAAGGAGCAUCUUACAGUCCACCGCUCUACCAACUGAGCUAUCAAGGUGCUCUCUAGUCACAACAGCAGAAAACAUAGUGGCUUUGGAGACACACUUUGCCCACAGAACUAUUCCAACCCAUGGUCAAUAAAAAGCCCAGCCCUACCUGUAGAACAAAGCUUUGCAGUUUGUAACCAACAGUCAUUGCCAGGGACCCAGAACUAAUAAUCAGGACUUUUAGGCUGGGUGAAUAAAAAAUUGAUGGUUGAAAAUUUAAGAAAGAGUUAUCUUGUUUGUGUUUUUACAUUUUGAAAGGGGUUGACAGAUAAAGACAAGGCUUGGGGGUAUUUCCAAUGACAAGGAGGUGCUUGGAGCUGGAGUUGAACCAGCGACCUUAGGAUCAGAGCGUUUCACACAAGGAGCAUCUUACAGUCCACUGCUCUACCAACUGAGCUUAUCAAGGUGCUCUCUAGUCACAACAGCAGAAAACAUAGUGGCUUUGGAGACACACUUUGCCCACAGAACUAUUCCAACCCAUGGUCAAUGAAAAGCCCAGCCCUACCUGUAGAACAAAGCUUUGCAGUUUGUACCCAACAGUCAUUGCCAGGGACCCAGAACUAAUAAUCAGGACUUUUAGGCUGGGUGGAUAAAAAAUUGUUGGUGGAAAAUUUAAGAAAGAGUUAUCUUGUUUGUGUUUUUACAUUUUGGAGGAGUUGACAGAUAAAGACAAGGCUUGGGGGUAUUUCUAAUCACAAGGAGGUGCUUGGAGCUGGAGUUGAACCAGCGACCUUGGGAUCACAGCGUUUCACACAAGGAGCAUCUUACAGUCCACUGCUCUACCAACUGAGCUUAUCAAGGUGCUCUCUAGUCACAACAGCAGAAAACAUAGUGGCUUUGGAGACACACUUUGCCCACAGAACUAUUCCAACCCAUGGUCAAUGAAAAGCCCAGCCCUACCUGUAGAACAAAGCUUUGCAGUUUGUACCCAACAGUCAUUGCCAGGGACCCAGAACAAAUAAUCAGGACUUUUAGGCUGGGUGGAUAAAAAAUUGUUGGUGGAAAAUUUAAGAAAGAGUUAUCUUGUUUGUGUUUUUACAUUUUGGAGGAGUUGACAGAUAAAGACAAGGCUUGGGGGUAUUUCCAAUCACAAGGAGGUGCUUGGAGCUGGAGUUGAACCAGCGACCUUAGGAUCACAGCGUUUCACACAAGGAGCAUCUAACAGUCCACCGCUCUACCAACUGAGCUAUCAAGGUGCUCUCUAGUCACAACAGCACAAAACAUAGUGGCUUUGGAGACACACUAUGCCCACAGAACUAUUCCAACCCAUGGUCAAUGAAAAGCCCAGCCCGACCUGCAGAACAAAGCUUUGCAGUUUGUACCCAACAGUCAUUGUCAGGGACCCAGAACUAAUAAUGAGAACUUUUAAGGCUGGGUGAAAAAAAAAUUGAUGGUUGAAAAUUUAAGAAAGAGUUAUCUUGUUUGUGUUUUUACAUUUUGGAGGAGUUGACAGAUAAAGACAAGGCUUGGGGGUAUUUACAAUGACAAGGAGGUGCUUGGAGCUGGAGUUGAACCAGCGACCUUAGAAUCACAGCGUUUCAUACAAGGAGCAUCUUACAGUCCACUGCUCUACCAACUGAGCUAUCAAGGUGCUCUCUAGUCACAACAGCACAAAACAUAGUGGCUUUGGAGACACACUAUGCCCACAGAACUAUUCCAACCCAUGGUCAAUGAAAAGCCAAGCCCUACCUGUAGAACAAAGCUUUGCAGUUUGUACCCAACAGUCAUUGCCAGGGACCCAGAACUAAUAAUCAGGACUUUUAGUCUGGGUGGAUAAAAAAUUGAUGGUUGAAAAUUUAAGAAUGAGUUAACUUGUUUGUGUUUUUACAUUUUGGAGGAGUUAAUUGAUAAACACAUGGCUUGGGGGUAUUUCCAAUCACAAGGAGGUGCUUGGAGCUGGAGUUGAACCAGCAACAUUAGGAUCACAGUGUUUCACACAAGGAGCAUCUUACAGUCCACCGCUCUACCAACUGAGCUUAUCAAGGUGCUCUCUAAUCACAACAGCAGAAAACAUAGUGGCUUUGGAGACACACUAUGCCCACAGAACUAUUCCAACCCAUGGUCAAUGAAAAGCCCAGCCCUACCUGUAGAACAAAGCUUUGCAGUUUGUACCCAACAGUCAUAGCCAGGGACCCAGAACUAAUAAUCAGGACUUUUAGGCUGGGUGAAUAAAAAAUUGAUGGUUGAAAAUUUAAGAAAGAGUUAUCUUGUUUGUGUUUUUACAUUUUGGAGGAGUUGACAGAUAAAGACAAGGCUUGGGGGUAUUUCCAAUGACAAGGAGGUGCUUGGAGCUGGAGUUGAACCAGCGACCUUGGGAUCACAGCGUUUCACACAAGGAGCAUCUUACAGUCCACUGCUCUACCAACUGAGCUAUCAAGGUGCUCUCUAGUCACAACAGCAGAAAACAUAGUGGCUUUGGAGACACACUUUGCCCACAGAACUAUUCCAACCCAUGGUCAAUGAAAGGCCCAGCCCUAUCUGUAGAACAAAGCUUUGCAGUUUGUACCCAACAGUCAUAGCCAGGGACCCAGAACUAAUAAUCAGGACGUUUAGGCUGGGUGGAUAAAAAAUUGUUGGUGGAAAAUUUAAGAAAGAGUUAUCUUGUUUGUGUUUUUACAUUUUGGAGGAGUUGACAGAUAAAGACAAGGCUUGGGGGUAUUUCCAAUCACAAGGAGGUGCUUGGAGCUGGAGUUGAACCAGCGACCUUAGGAUCACAGCGUUUCACACAAGGAGCAUCUAACAGUCCACCGCUGUACCAACUGAGCUAUCAAGGUGCUCUAUAGUCACAACAGCAGAAAACAUAGUGACUUUGGAGACACACUUUGCCCACAGAACUAUUCCAACCCAUGGUCAAUGAAAAGCCCAGCCCUACCUGUAGAACAAAGCUUUGCAGUUUGUAACCAACAGUCAUUGCCAGGGACCCAGAACUAAUAAUCAGGACUUUUAGGCUGGGUGAAUAAAAAAUUGAUGGUUGAAAAUUUAAGAAAGAGUUAUCUUGUUUGUGUUUUUACAUUUUGAAAGGGGUUGACAGAUAAAGACAAGGCUUGGGGGUAUUUCCAAUGACAAGGAGGUGCUUGGAGCUGGAGUUGAACCAGCGACCUUAGGAUCAGAGCGUUUCACACAAGGAGCAUCUUACAGUCCACUGCUCUACCAACUGAGCUUAUCAAGGUGCUCUCUAGUCACAACAGCAGAAAACAUAGUGGCUUUGGAGACACACUUUGCCCACAGAACUAUUCCAACCCAUGGUCAAUGAAAAGCCCAGCCCUACCUGUAGAACAAAGCUUUGCAGUUUGUACCCAACAGUCAUUGCCAGGGACCCAGAACUAAUAAUCAGGACUUUUAGGCUGGGUGGAUAAAAAAUUGUUGGUGGAAAAUUUAAGAAAGAGUUAUCUUUUUUGUGUUUUUACAUUUUGGAGGAGUUGACAGAUAAAGACAAGGCUUGGGGGUAUUUCUAAUCACAAGGAGGUGCUUGGAGCUGGAGUUGAACCAGCGACCUUGGGAUCACAGCGUUUCACACAAGGAGCAUCUUACAGUCCACUGCUCUACCAACUGAGCUUAUCAAGGUGCUCUCUAGUCACAACAGCAGAAAACAUAGUGGCUUUGGAGACACACUUUGCCCACAGAACUAUUCCAACCCAUGGUCAAUGAAAAGCCCAGCCCUACCUGUAGAACAAAGCUUUGCAGUUUGUACCCAACAGUCAUUGCCAGGGACCCAGAACAAAUAAUCAGGACUUUUAGGCUGGGUGGAUAAAAAAUUGUUGGUGGAAAAUUUAAGAAAGAGUUAUCUUGUUUGUGUUUUUACAUUUUGGAGGAGUUGACAGAUAAAGACAAGGCUUGGGGGUAUUUCCAAUCACAAGGAGGUGCUUGGAGCUGGAGUUGAACCAGCGACCUUAGGAUCACAGCGUUUCACACAAGGAGCAUCUAACAGUCCACCGCUCUACCAACUGAGCUAUCAAGGUGCUCUGUAGUCACAACAGCACAAAACAUAGUGGCUUUGGAGACACACUAUGCCCACAGAACUAUUCCAACCCAUGGUCAAUGAAAAGCCCAGCCCGACCUGCAGAACAAAGCUUUGCAGUUUGUACCCAACAGUCAUUGUCAGGGACCCAGAACUAAUAAUGAGAACUUUUAAGGCUGGGUGAAAAAAAAAUUGUGGUGGAAAAUUUAAGAAAGAGUUAUCUUGUUUGUGUUUUUACAUUUUGGAGGAGUUGACAGAUAAAGACAAGGCUUGGGGGUAUUUCCAAUGACAAGGAGGUGCUUGGAGCUGGAGUUGAACCAGCGACCUUGGGAUCACAGCGUUUCACACAAGGACCAUCUUACAGUCCACCGCUCUACCAACUGAGCUAUCAAGGUGCUCUAUAGUCACAACAGCACAAAACAUAGUGGCUUUGGAGACACACUUUGCCCACAGAACUAUUCCAACCCA